CAUUUCGGGCGCUCCCACCUUGAUGAUCCCGAUCUGUUUGAAGUAAUCGGCCACCGACUCGAUGGUGACGUUCUCGCCCAGCCCCUGCACGAAGAUCGUGUUGUUGUCCGAGUUGUCCUGCUCGCCUGCAAUCAAUUAAUUACCGUUAAUUAGCACUAAUUACUGAGGAAAAGAUGCUAAUUAACCCUCAUUAACCCCGCCCCAAAGCUCAGAAAUUACCCCCAAGGCUCCACCUCCCAAUGCUCACCUAGAGAUCGUUAAUUAACUAAAUUAAUUAGCGUUAAUUACUGUUAAUCACCGCUAAUUAACCAUCAUUAACGCUGUCCUCAAGUUUAAAAAGGCCCCUUGUACUCACCUUGUUAAUUGUCACUAAUUAAUCCCUUUAACUUAAUUAAUUCCAACCCAAACCCUUAUUCCUCUUCAUUAUUACUAAUUAUCACUAAUUAUCACUAACUUCAUUAUCGCUAAUUAACUCCAAAAUAAACCCCAUUAAUUACCCCAGUAAUUAGCCCCACCAUCAAUUACCCACUUUAUUCCUCCUAAUUACCUCUAAUUACACAAUUAAUUAUUCCCAACAUAAUCUUUUACUCAGCCUGUUAAUUACCACUAAUCAAUCUCUUUAAUUUACCUAAUUAACCCAAAUUUAACUUUGAUUACCACUAAUUAACCAUUAUUAAUUACCACUUAUUCCCCCAAUUAUCACCAAUAAUUAACCCCCAAUAAACUCCAUUAAUUACUACAUUAAUUAACAUAACUUUAGCAAUUAUUUCCCAUUAAUUAAUUACCCCUAAUUAAUGAAUUAAUUAAUUACCUGGGUCAUGUCUGGGCCCCUGGUCCCGGGGUCCUUUUGGGGCCACACAUGAAAGAGAAAAACAAAUUAUGCAAAUUAGGAGAGCUGAAUUUGGGCGUGGCCAACCCAAACCCCGCCCCCUUUUCCUUGGCCCCGCCCCUUUCUGCCCCUCCCAGGCCCCAUUUUGGGGCAAAAUCCCCAAAUUUGGCACCAAAAUUUUCCUUUUUUCCACCUGAAAUUCAAAUUCUGGAACCUUCUUCCCAAAAAGGCUCCGAUUUCUCCUUUUUUUCUCCAUUUUUGUUUUUUUUUUUUUCUUUUUUUUUUUUCUUUUUUUUUUUUUUGCUUUUUUGGGCCUUUUUCAGGCAAAUUUUUGGGUAUAUUUUUGGUAUUUUUGUGACAUUUCUUGGCCAGUUUUUGGUCUUUUGUUCCAGCAAUUUUUGAGCUUUUUGUUUUGUUUUUUGGCCCUUUUUGAUGCAAUUUUUCA
rnacentral:lncRNA from 1 species